rnacentral:rRNA from 1 species
GACGAACGCUGGCGGCGUGCCUCAGACAUGCAAGUCGAACGAUUAAGACUUCCUUCGGGAAGUGCAUAAAGUGGCGCACGGGUGAGUAACACGUAAGUAAUCUACCCUCGAGUGGGGAAUAACAGUCGGAAACGACUGCUAAUACCGCAUAAUGCAGCGGCACCGCAAGGUGACAGUUGUUAAAGGAGCAAUCCGCUUGAGGAGGAGCUUGCGGCAGAUUAGCUAGUUGGUAAGGUAACGGCUUACCAAGGCUACGAUCUGUAUCCGGUCUAAGAGGACGGUCGGACACACUGACACUGAAUAACGGGUCAGACUCCUACGGGAGGCAGCGGUCGGGAAUUUUGGGCAAUGGGCGAAAGCCUGACCCAGCAACGCCGCGUGAAGGAUGAAGUAUUUCGGUAUGUAAACUUCGAAAGAAUAGGAAGAAUAAAUGACGGUACUAUUUAUAAGCUCCGGCUAACUACGUGCCAGCAGCCGCAGUAACAC